rnacentral:rRNA from 1 species
UACGAAGGGGGCUAGCGUUGUUCGGAUUUACUGGGCGUAAAGCGCACGUAGGCGGACUUGUCAGUCAGGGGUGAAAUCCCGGGGCUCAACCUCGGAACUGCCUCUGAUACAGCAAGUCUUGAGUCCGGAAGAGGUGGGUGGAAUUCCUAGUGUAGAGGUGAAAUUCGUAGAUAUCGGAAGGAACACCGGUGGCGAAAGCGGCGCGCUGGACCUCUUCUGACGCUGAGGCGCGAAAGCCAGGGGAGCAAACGGG